AUUUAGAAGCAUCAAGAAUACAGAAAACCUGCAAGCUGCAACCCUUCAGACAUCUACUUCCCAAGCAAACUUCAAAUCUUUUUUUAAGGUUGACACUCUAUUACACUAUUGCAGAAGAUUUUUUUAAAAAGUGGAGUUUAAAGGAUUUGCCUGUGGCUGCAGAGCUAGCAAUCCCGUCUGAGCUGUUUAAUCACUUAGCCGUGGGAUUUGACUGAUUCCAACUUCUGGAAGAAAAAUAUCAUUAAGGUUUCAGUGAUGGGAAUGUCAGUUCCACAUUCUUGCUUUUAAGAUGUCUUACAAUAGUAAUGAUCAUGAUUAUCUAUUUUAUGCAUGAAGAAAGGAAGAUGCAGAAUUUUUUUUUAGUCCAAAGGCAUCUCAGUAGCAUCCAUCUAUUCCACCCCUCCAUCCCCCAGAAACCCAAAAGAAGUUCUCACUAGAAGAUGCCCAACAAAUGGUUGAAUCAGGUGAUGUUCCAAGUCAGUGACCCAAAGGAUAUUAGAAAUAAUUUUCUAAUAAACCAGUAUGUCAGAAGGAAGGUGUUUGGCAAACUGGAAAGCAAUGUGGGCUAUUAUUUUCCAUAGCUGUUUAAAACCUCUGAGGAAGACCAUGCACAGAGUGUGGCUGGCUGCGGUGACAGUGUGGGAUCAUGGAAGAAUACUAAAAUUGGAGCUUCUUGAUUAUAGAUUAGAACCUGGACAUAACCUCCGAGGUCAACUAUUCUAGAGAUAUCAAGCUUGCAACUGCAAUUCUCCCAGAGCUCAAGAACCUGAUUAAAAUGGAAUUGAGAAAUCUUUAACAAAAUAAAUAAAGAUACAAUACAACAUA